rnacentral:rRNA from 1 species
AUUGAACGCUGGCGGCAGGCCUAACACAUGCAAGUCGAGCGGAUGACGGGAGCUUGCUCCUUGAUUCAGCGGCGGACGGGUGAGUAAUGCCUAGGAAUCUGCCUGGUAGUGGGGGACAACGUUUCGAAAGGAACGCUAAUACCGCAUGCGUCCUACGGGAGAAAGCAGGGGACCUUCGGGCCUUGCGCUAUCAGAUGAGCCUAGGUCGGAUUAGCUAGUUGGUGGGGUAAUGGCUCACCAAGGCGACGAUCCGUAACUGGUCUGAGAGGAUGAUCAGUCACACUGGAACUGAGACACGGUCCAGACUCCUUCGGGAGGCAGCAGUGGGGAAUAUUGGACAAUGGGCGAAAGCCUGAUCCAGCCAUGCCGCGUGUGUGAAGAAGGUCUUCGGAUUGUAAAGCACUUUAAGUUGGGAGGAAGGGCAGUAAGUUAAUACCUUGCUGUUUUGACGUUACCGACAGAAUAAGCACCGGCUAACUCUGUGCCAGCAGCCGCCGUAA